rnacentral:rRNA from 1 species
UACGGAGGGUCCAAGCGUUAUCCGGAAUCAUUGGGUUUAAAGGGUCCGUAGGCGGUUUUGUAAGUCAGUGGUGAAAGCCCAUCGCUCAAAGGUGGAACGGCCAUUGAUACUGCAAGACUUGAAUUAUUGGGAAGUAACUAGAAUAUGUAGUGUAGCGGUGAAAUGCUUAGAGAUUACAUGGAAUACCAAUUGCGAAGGCAGGUUACUGCCAAUAUAUUGACGCUGAUGGACGAAAGCGUGGGGAGCGAACAGG